CAAGCAAUAGAAAUUCACAAAAAUAAUAUAAUUUUAAUCGGUUACAGUUAAAAAAAGAGGGAUUUUUAAUUUCUCUAGUGUCGAUGCCGCUGAUUUCUCGGCAAUGUCGCUCUCCUCUCAAUCCCCAUACCCGAGAGAUGUUGAUCCUCCUCCAGGCGUAAGCCUCGCUCUUUUCUCUUCUCCUCUAUUCUUUCCCUUGCCCCUUUCAACAAAAUUUCGGAUUCCAUGUCCUCUCCCUUCUUCUGUUUCGAUCCUGCCAAUCCAUUACUUCCCAUGCAGUUCCAGCAAUGGCAGCUCUGAGGCUCAUUACAUCCACUGUUAAUACAUAGAGAGCGAUAGAUAUAGAAAUUAAGAAUCAGGAGAUCGUACGGUAUAGGGUGGAUUGGUGUUUAUUGAUUCUCGUAAAAGCAAUUUUGCCUUUUGGAUCUGUGGGAUUUGCGAUUCUGAAUGUGGCCUUCGUGGGUGGAAAUAAGGAGAGAGGUGAUUGAACGGGUAUGGAUGUAUAUAGCUAAAUUUCUUCAUUUGGGUUUUUUAAGUUCCGGUUGUCCAUUGUAGAGUGAAUUUUGAAAAUAGAGAUUUUUUUUCUUUUUUUUAAUGUGUAUAAAUGUGCUAGGUUUGAUUGAGAAUGAAGUGAGAGGGUUGCGGGCAUUUUAUCUA